UCAAGCUACUAAGGGCAUACGGUGGAUGCCUAGGCGCCAGGAGCCGAAGAAGGACGCGGUAAGCUGCGAAAAGCCACGGGGAACUGCAAGCGAGUAUUGAUCCGUGGAUAUCCGAAUGGGGAAACCCGGCCAUCGUAAUGGAUGGUCAUCCGCAAGGAAGGGAACCCGGGGAACUGAAACAUCUAAGUACCCGGAGGAAAAGAAAUCAAACGAGAUGCCCACAGUAGCGGCGAGCGAAGAGGGCAGAGCCCAAACCUGUAAGCUACGGCUUAUGGGGGUUGAGGACUGACGUAAUUAAGGCCAGGCUUAGCUGAACUACCUGGGAAGGUAGGCGAUAGAAGGUAAGAGCCCUGUAAGCGAAAGGCAGAGCCUUAAGGUCAGAAUCCAGAGUACCACGGAGCACGAGGAAUUCUGUGGGAAGCAGGGGGGACCACCCUCCAAGGCUAAAGACUAACUGGCGACCGAUAGCGCAUAGUACCGUGAGGGAAAGGUGAAAAGAACCCCGGGAGGGGAGUGAAAUAGUACCUGAAACCGUAUGUCUACAAGCAGUCGGAGCGAAAGCGACGGCGUGCCUAUUGAAGAAUGAACCAACGAGUUAUCUGCACUAGCGAGGUUAAGUGGAAGACACGGAGCCGUAGCGAAAGCGAGUCUGAAAAGGGCGGAUAGUUAGUGUAGGUAGACCCGAAACCGCAGUGAUCUACCCAUGUCCAGGUUGAAGCGCAGGUAAAAAUGCGUGGAGGACCGAACCGGUGAGCGUUGAAAAGCUUUCGGAUGAGAUGUGGGUAGGGGUGAAAUUCCAAUCGAACGCGGAGAUAGCUGGUUCUCCCCGAAAUAGCUUUAGGGCUAGCCUCAGGUAGUAAGUAUAGGCGGUAGAGCACUGAUCGGGCUAGGGGCCAUAAAGGUUACCGAACCCUGUCAAACUCCGAAUGGAUAUACUGCAGAGCCUGGGAGUCAGACUACGAGUGAUAAGAUCCGUGGUCAAAAGGGAAACAGCCCAGACCACCGGCUAAGGUCCCAAAUGCCGUACUAAGUGGAAAAGGAUGUGGGGAUUCAUAAACAACCAGGAUGUUGGCUCAGAAGCAGCCACCAUUUAAAGAGUGCGUAAUAGCUCACUGGUCGAGAGUCCCUGCGCCGAAAAUUUCCGGGGCUAAAGUACGGAACCGAAGCCGUGGCUGUGCAUGUAAGUGCACGGGGUAGGGGAGCGUUGCCACAGGGGUGAAGCUGGUCUGGAAGGACUGGUGGACUUGUGGGAAGUGAGAAUGUUGGUAUGAGUAGCGAAAAGAAAGGUGAGAAUCCUUUCCACCGAAAGCAUAAGGAUUCCUGAGCAACGAUCGUCGUCUCAGGGUAAGUCGGGACCUAAUCCGAGGCAAAGAGCGUAGGAGAUGGACAACAGGUUGAUAUUCCUGUACCGGCAGCAAUUGUUUGAGCGAAGGAGUGACACAGAAGGGCAGGCAGGCGCGAGACUGGAUUGUCGCGUGCAAGCGUGUAGGGUAGUGUACAGGCAAAUCCGUACACUGAAAGCCUGAGGCGUUACGCGGAGCGAGCAGAGAUGCGAGCGAAGCUGCUGAUCCCACACUGUCGAGAAAAGCUUCUAGUGAGAGAGCUGCCGCCCGUACCGUAAACCGACACAGGUAUGCGGGGAGAGAAUCCUAAGGUGCGCGGGAGAACCCUCGUUAAGGAACUCGGCAAAAUGUACCCGUAACUUCGGGAUAAGGGUAGCCGUCUUGGUGAAGGAGCUUGCCUCUGGAGCUGAAGGCGGUCGCAGAGAAGAGGCCCAAGCGACUGUUUACCACAAACACAGGUGCCUGCUAAAGCGAAAGCUGACGUAUAGGUGCUGACACCUGCCCAGUGCUGGAAGGUUAAGGAAGGAUGUCCGGGCAACCAAAGCAUUCGACCGAAGCCCCAGUGAACGGCGGCCGUAACUAUAACGGUCCUAAGGUAGCGAAAUUCCUUGUCGGGUAAGUUCCGACCCGCACGAAAGGUGUAACGAUUUGGGCACUGUCUCAACGAGGGACCCGGUGAAAUUGAAAUACCUGUGAAGAUGCAGGUUACCCGCGACUGGACAGAAAGACCCCAUGGAGCUUUACUGUAACCUGACAUUGGGUUUUGUUGUAUUACGUACAGGAUAGGUGGGAGGCUUGGAAGGCUGGACGCUAGUCUGGCUGGAGCCGGCGUUGGGAUACCACCCUUGAUACAACGGAAUUCUAACCGAGAGAGUAACGAAAUCCGGGACAGUGUCAGGCGGGCAGUUUGACUGGGGCGGUCGCCUCCGAAAGAGUA
rnacentral:rRNA from 1 species